GCCCGGCGCGGCGGCGCACGCCUGUAAUCCCAGCGGCUCAGGGGGCUGAGACAGGAGGAUCGCGAGUUCAAAGCCAGCCUCAGCAAUGGUGAGGCGCUAAGCAACUCAGUGAGAUCCUGUCUCUA
rnacentral:sRNA from 1 species